GAUGAACGCUGGCGGCGUGCCUAAUACAUGCAAGUAGAACGCUGAAGGAGGAGCUUGCUCUUCUGGAUGAGUUGCGAACGGGUGAGUAACGCGUAGGUAACCUGCCUGGUAGCGGGGGAUAACUAUUGGAAACGAUAGCUAAUACCGCAUGACAACAGUUAUUGCAUGAUAACUGUUUAAAAGGGGCAACUGCUCCACUACCAGAUGGACCUGCGUUGUAUUAGCUAGUUGGUGAGGUAACGGCUCACCAAGGCGACGAUACAUAGCCGACCUGAGAGGGGGAUCGGCCACACUGGGACUGAGGCACGGCCCAGACUCCUACGGGAGGCAGCAGUAGGGAAUCUUCGGCAAUGGACGGAAGUCUGACCGAGCAACGCCGCGUGAGUGAAGAAGGUUUUCGGAUCGUAAAGCUCUGUUGUAAGAGAAGAACGAGUGUGAGAGUGGAAAGUUCACACUGUGACGGUAUCUUACCAGAAAGGGACGGCUAACUACGUG
rnacentral:rRNA from 1 species